rnacentral:rRNA from 1 species
UACGGAGGGUGCGAGCGUUAAUCGGAAUUACUGGGCGUAAAGGGUGCGUAGGCGGCGCGGUAAGUCGGGUGUGAAAUCUCGGGGCUUAACUCCGAAACUGCAUUCGAUACUGCCGUGCUUGAGGACUGGAGAGGAGACUGGAAUUUACGGUGUAGCGGUGAAAUGCGUAGAUAUCGUAAGGAAGACCAGUGGCGAAGGCGGGUCUCUGGACAGUUCCUGACGCUGAGGCACGAAGGUCAGGGGAGCAAACGGG